rnacentral:lncRNA from 1 species
GUAUGGUAUUGUAGUAUCUGACAUAGGGGAGGGAGGGUCUCUGAAACUUUGCCAAUUCAUAAGUGCUAGCUACUACAGUAACAGAAACAGGCCGAGAUUUUUUUUCUUCCCCAACCGUCACUUUUCAAUAGGAAAAGACUGUAUUAGGCCCAGAGCAUGGUGGUGGGUUUGGCCUACUUCUCUAUCACCUCCUACAAUGACACCCGUUAACUUACCCUCAAG